rnacentral:rRNA from 1 species
UACGUAGGGGGCUAGCGUUGCUCCGGAAUCAUUGGGCGUAAAGCGCGUGUAGGCGGUCCGGUAAGUCCGCUGUGAAAGUCGGGGGGCUCAACCCUCGAAUGCCGGUGGAUACUGUCGGGCUAGAGUCCGGAAGAGGCGAGUGGAAUUCCUGGUGUAGCGGUGGAAUGCGCAGAUAUCGGGGAGGAACACCAGUAGCGAAGGCGGCUCGCUGGGCCGUUCCUGACGCUGAGACGCGAAAAGCUAGGGGGAGCGAAACAGGAUU